AAUAGUAUUGGAACGUCCAUUUACACUUUUCUUUAAAUCUUCUUAUAUGAAUUCUGUUUUAUAAUUUUGUGUGAGGUAAAAGGCGAUUUGUUAUUCUACAUUUAUAAUUCCUCAUUUCAAUACACUGUCUUAGGAGAGUUGGCUAAAGUACGUAGUGGAAAUAUUAUUGGAACCCUCGACGUCCACUGAGUCCCUCCCUUCCUUGCUGUCGUCAUUCACGCCGUGUUGUGGGAAGUGAUCUGAGCUGCGGGCGUGUUAAAAACCAUUAAUACUCUCAACUGAUCCUCGUGCGGGGCGUUUUGUUGUCCUGGGAGGAGCCUGGUGUGUCUGAGGGAGGAGCUGCAAGACUGGACAGCGGUAGACUGGGGAAUGUUCAUCCAGAGAGCAGUACAAGAGUGUGAAGUCCUGGCUGUGUCUGUCCCCUAGGCGAACUCCCUCGUGCCUGCAGUGGUAUUGGGUGAGUGAAGGAGUGGCGCCGCAAUAAAGAGAUGAUAUGACAACUGGGGAAUCAUGAGCACACUCGUAUCAAAGGCAAGCCGGCGGGGAGCUGCCGGGAGUGAUGGGCGCUGCUUUAUGUCACCCAAUGCUUGACGGUAUAUUGCCCUCCGUUACACGCCGCAGAGUUCGUGUGCGAGGUGGCAGGGGUGGCGGGGCAGACAUGAUGUACCAAGCCGCUGCCUGCAUUCUGAAACUCUCUGUUCCCUCACCACGACCAUUUCUAAAGGUCACAGAAAUGGUUAGCCAGGUUAUCAGGAGUGUUUCAACUGUUAAUAAUGUAGAAAUCCUGAUCAUCUGUCACUAGAACCGUAAAAAUACCCUUAACUCGUGUAACUUCAACUAGAGACUUAACUAACAAUCUCAUUAAUCUGUCACUAGAAUCAUUUAAAACAUUCUUAACAACUACGUAGAGACUUUUGAAUAUAAUGGAGGUGCUGCGCAGAAGUGUUUCAAAAUAUAGUCCUUUAUCCUGGGGGGUUGGGAAAGGGAGGGGAAGGGAGGCUAUGUCCAGGAUGGUGGUGAAGAGGAAGGUAUGUCUGAGAGUGUUGGGGAAGGAAAGGUGAAGCUAGAUCCUCUGUGAUUGGUUAGCGGGGAAAGAUAAUAAUAAAUAAAGGUGAAAGGGUGUGAAUCUUCAUUAUCCCGGCAUAUGGUGCUGGUCAGGUUAAGGUCACGCAGCCUCGCCGCCACGCCAGGUCACCGCCAUGGGUCACUACCACCCCCAGAUCACCGCCAUGCCAGGUCAUCGCCACUUGUCACCGCCACCACGUCACUGCCGGGUGCACAUCGGGUCAAUGCCCACGCACGGGAUUCAAUAACGCUUGAUCCUGGCGUGAAUUUUGAGUGGUGUUAUUGAAGUGCAAAUAUUAUAUCAGUGAAAUGUAUUUAUUUAUCUGGUGGUGCGUUUAUCUAUUUAUUUAUUUAUUUAUU